rnacentral:piRNA from 1 species
ACCAGCUUUAGUGUCCUCAUGGUCCUGCCU